rnacentral:rRNA from 1 species
UAAAAAAAGGUAAGCUACUAAGAGCGAAUGGUGGAUGCCUUGACUGGUAAAGGCGAUGAAGGACGUACUAGACUGCGAUAAGCUACGGGGAGCUGUCAAGAAGCUUUGAUCCGUAGAUUUCCGAAUGGGGCAACCCAAUGUAUAGAGAUAUACAUUACCUAUAUAGGAGCGAACGAGGGGAAUUGAAACAUCUUAGUACCCUCAGGAAAAGAAAUCAAUAGAGAUUGCGUCAGUAGCGGCGAGCGAAAGCGCAAGAGGGCAAACCCAGUGCUUGCACUGGGGGUUGUAGGACUGCAAUGUGCAAGAGCUGAGUUUAGCAGAACAUUCUGGAAAGUAUAGCCAUAGAGGGUGAUAGUCCCGUAUGCGAAAAACAAAGCUUAGCUAGCAGUAUCCUGAGUAGGGCGGGACACGAGGAAUCCUGUCUGAAUCCGGGUCGACCACGAUCCAACCCUAAAUACUAAUACCAGAUCGAUAGUGCACAAGUACCGUGAGGGAAAGGUGAAAAGAACUGAGGUGAUCAGAGUGAAAUAGAACCUGAAACCAUUUGCUUACAAUCAUUCAGAGCACUAUGUAGCAAUACAGUGUGAUGGACUGCCUUUUGCAUAAUGAGCCUGCGAGUUGUGGUGUCUGGCAAGGUUAAGCAAACGCGAAGCCGUAGCGAAAGCGAGUCUGAAUAGGGCGCUUAGUCAGAUGCUGCAGACCCGAAACGAAGUGAUCUAUCCAUGAGCAAGUUGAAGCUAGUGUAAGAACUAGUGGAGGACUGAACCCAUAGGCGUUGAAAAGCCCCGGGAUGACUUGUGGAUAGGGGUGAAAGGCCAAUCAAACUUCGUGAUAGCUGGUUCUCUCCGAAAUAUAUUUAGGUAUAGCGUUGUGUCGUAAUAUAAGGGGGUAGAGCACUGAAUGGGCUAGGGCAUACACCAAUGUACCAAACCCUAUCAAACUCCGAAUACCUUAUAUGUAAUCACAGCAGUCAGGCGGCGAGUGAUAAAAUCCGUCGUCAAGAGGGAAACAACCCAGACUACCAGCUAAGGUCCCUAAAUCUUACUUAAGUGGAAAACGAUGUGAAGUUACUUAAACAACCAGGAGGUUGGCUUAGAAGCAGCCAUCCUUUAAAGAAAGCGUAAUAGCUCACUGGUCUAGUGAUUUUGCGCGGAAAAUAUAACGGGGCUAAAGU